GGCUCCUUGGUCAAGCGGUUAAGACACCACCCUCUCAAGGUGGUAUCAGGGGUUCGAUUCCCCUAGGAGUCACCA
rnacentral:tRNA from 1 species